UUAUCUAUUAACAAAAGUAAAAUCUAGUUUAUAAAUAAAAGAGCAACUCCUUUGGUUUGAAAGCUUGUCAUUUCAUUAUUUCUUAUUUAAUGGCCCAACUUCCUCCUUCCGAAUACAGGGAUUUUAAUGCGACACUUUCUUUCAGAUGUCGUCUUAUAUUUUCUCUUUACUACUGCAACAUUUUCUUUCGGAUAUUGUCUUACGUGUCCUUUUUACCACUGCAAUAGCUUCUUCUAGGUAUUGUCUUAUGUGCCCCGUUUAGAACUAAAUCAUACAUUUAUACCGUCUUUCAGAUGUUGUAUUUAACUUAUCAUGGAAGUAGACUGAAUUUGAUUUGUAGAUCUGCUACAUAAUUCCCUAUUUGGUAUGCCAAACUAUCCGGUUUCUAUUUUCAACUUGCUGAAAUUUUGGGCCCCAACAAUCUUUUAACAUGAUCACAUAUAUAUUUCCAACAUUCUUAUAUCAAGAAAACAAUUGACAUUCAUUAUCAUAAAAUCAAUCUAUAUCAUCAUAUAAUCAUCUACAUAUUCCAAACAAGAACAUGGUUGUAAUACUCAUCAUUUGAUUUGGCAAGGUGAUAACACCUCAUCAUAUAAAACAAUCAAGUUACUUUCUACAAGACAGAUUUUCGACUCACAUUAUGUUCAUAAUUGCACCAAGAAAAACACAUUUUCAAGUUCAAUUUCUUUCAUAAGGCAUGUUAAUUUAUGUCUUGACUUUCAUUAGGAAUUAAUUUGAUGCAAUUUAGGCAUGUAGGAUUUCAUUUAUAGCCCUUUAUAUACAAAUUGUUCAAGAGCAGGUUCCAAUUCUAGGAGAAACACCUAUUUGGUACCCUGUUUUUCCUCAAUUCUUUGAGGGCUUUAAAAACAUAAUUAGCUCUUAUGGUCUCCAUGUAAUUUAUAGCUUAGGGUCUUAGCUUUCAUUUAAACCAGGAAUCACCCCAUUCCAAGGUCUAGGUCUCCAGUUAUGCUCAUUUUUCUAUAUACUGUCCAGUUUCUACCUGACCAGGUCUGGAUACAAUCAGAAUUCAUGGUUCCUAUUCAUAGACCAAUUUGGUCAUCUUAAAGACAGAUUCCAUCAAAGUAUUCUUCAUAAAAAAUGUUUAUACAUAUUUUAAGUUUUCAAUGGUUCAAGAAUCACCUAAUUUGGAAGCCUAUAUUGUGAGUUAUAGUUAAUUUAUCAACUACUGUUCACGGAUGCAGUGUCCUCAGAAUUUCAGAUUUUCAGAUUUCCAGUUCAUGUUUGCACUCAACUUUCACAUAUGUUACACCCAGAAUUUGUACAGAGUCUCUAAAACAAAAUUUUAAGCCUAUGUCUUA
rnacentral:misc_RNA from 1 species